GGUCCGCUGGCUCAAUGGCAGAGCGUCUGACUACGACCCCUCAACAGAUCAUCAGAUUUCGAGAGCUCAAGUAAUCAGGAGGUUCCAGGUUCGACCCCUGGGUGGAUCG